CAGUUGCUGCACCGCAACCCCGCGCCAAAGCCAGCGCGGCCAAACGACGUGACGACCAAACGAAGCAACCAGGCGCCGAAAAGGAUAGCCGAAGUGCGAAACCCAACAGCAAGGAGAAGGCGAGGGGAAAAAAGAAAGAAAAGGCGCAUCGAAAAGGCAAAGAGCGAGCUCCCUCUACCCGCGAUCCCCGCACACCGGCCGCCGGCGUUCGUCGCCGCCGCGGAUGAGAUGCGCUCCCCCUCCGGCGGCGGCAGCGUGGUGGCCCGCGCACGUUCGUGAGGGGCCCUCCGCCACGCGCCCAGGUUACUGUGGCUCCGAGUCCGAGUUCGCUCCCCGCGCCCGCGCUAUCGCCGCGGGGCGGAGCGGAUCCCCCAACAUGUGGCUUUUCUGGCGCACUAGGAAUCGCUUCUCCCUUGAGGAGCUCCGGUAUCUAACAGAUCAGCUACAAAAGGUUCAUGUUGUCAAUGAAGCUAAUAAGGAAUUUGUGAUUGAAGCAUUGCGAUCAAUUGCGGAACUUAUGAUAUACGGUGACCAGCAUGAUGCUUUGUUUUUUGAAUAUUUUAUGGAGAAACAGAUCAUGGGUGAGUUUGCUCGUGUUCUAAGGAUCUCAAAGCUGUCAAGAGUGUCACUCCAAUUGCUACAGACAAUGAGUAUCAUGAUCCAAAAUCUGAGAAAUGAACAUUCAAUUUAUUACAUUUUUAGCAAUGAGCACAUCAACUUCUUGGUUACGUACCCAUUCGAUUUUCGAAUUGAUGAGAUGUUAUCGUACUACAUAUCUUUUCUGCGGGCGAUAAGUGGGAAGUUGAACAAGAAUACAAUUUCUUUGCUCGUGAAGACGAAAAAUGAUGAGGUCACUUCCUUUCCUCUUUAUGUUGAGGCCUUAAAGUUUGCUUUUCACGAGGAUAGCAUGAUUCGAGUUGCUAUACGUACCUUGACACUCAAUGUCUAUCACGUUGGAGAUGAAUCUGUUAACAGAUUUGUUUCCCGCACGCCUUUAUCAGAUUAUUUUUCAGACAUGGUUCAGCAUUUUCAGAAGCAGUGCAUUGACUUGGAUAAGUUGGUUGCACGCUCCUCACGAAAGGGAAAUUCUUCUGUGCCAAUAUCUUCUAUUGAAGAUGCAAUUGUGCAAAUUGAAGACACACUGUAUUAUUUCAGUGAUGUUAUGUCUUCUGGUAUUCCUGAUCUUGAAAGGUUCAUCACUGAAAAUAUCUUGCGAGUUCUGGUAUUUCGAUUCUUACUCCCGUCACUGCAGAGGCAGAGCACAGAUUUGGACUUAAGUGUCACUACAUCCAUGUAUCUACUUUGUUGUAUACUACACAUUUUUAAGAAUAAGGAUAUGGCAAGUACUGUAGCUGCUGCCCUUUUUCAUCAACCUGAUGGCCCUGAUGAUAGGAAGCAAAGGACACCUAAUGGAUAUACAUCUGAGCAUGAUAGUUGCAAAUCUGAGAAUCAUUGCACCACUGCCUCUGGUAUCGAGCAAUCAAGUGAGGAGCCAAAUUCUUUGUCUUCUGUUAGUUGGAAACACUUGCCCAACAAUUCAUCGCGAAGUGAUUGCUGCCAAGGAAACACACCAAGGGAACACUUGCUGUCCUAUAUCACAGAAGGAGAUGAUUCACAAGCUUUGGGUUCAUUGUGCUUAUUCGCUACAUUAUUGCAGACGAAAGAACUUGAUGAAUCAAUGCUGGAUGCCCUUGGAAUCCUCCCUCAAAGAAAGCAGCAUAAGAAACUUCUAUUACAAGCUUUAGUAGGUGAAGACCUUGCUGAAACACAAUUAUUUUCGUCAAGCAGCAGUCUAACUGAUGACAGCAUUUGUAGUGAUUUUGAUAUUUAUGUAAGGAAGCUUCAGGAUAAAUAUGGGCUACAAUGUCACCAUCCACGGCAAAUGACUUCCAAAGCUCACAGAUAUCAGGUGCUCGAUGCUUUAGUCGACCUUUUCUGCAGGUCAAAGGUUUCUGCAGAUGUUCGUUUGGUUGGUGGCUGGCUUUUCCGGCAACUGCUGCCCCAUGGAGAGGAAGAGUUCACUGCUUUUCAUCUAAGACGACUAAAGCAAAUGCAAGGGGAGAACUACGAUUCUAUUCCUAUUUAUUAUUACCAAAUUUCGCUGAUUCACACAAGGAUUGUAGCUCAAAGCUUUCUGAGGAAUCUGGAGGAUGCUGGUGUGACAUGCUUCUUCCUAUUGUUAAAGAAGCUUGGAGGAACUGCAAGAAAGCAAUUGAGGCAUCUUCGCCACCAAAAGGAUCCAAAUCUAUUAUUGUACCCAUGGAUUUGUGUUCAUUUGAAGGUGAUUCUUCUGUUGCCAUCGCAGAGGCACUCUAUGAGAUGGUUAAGGGUUUUGUGCUGCAGCAUCAAGUUAUACUCUUCUGUCUUGGAGAAACUUUCACAGAGCUACCUCCUAUUUACCCUCUGGUUGAUUUGCCUAUAAAUACUAGGGCAAGCGCUGCAGAUUUUGGUGGUUCAGUUCCUAAACCUGGGCUUGAAGUCAACUUAGUCGACGCUGUUCCUUGUCGAAUAGCAUUUGAGAGGGGCAAAGAACGGCACUUCUGCUUUUUAGCCAUAGCUCAUGGAACUUCUGGUUGGAUUCUUCUUCUAGAAGAAUUACCUCUAAAACGGGAACGAGGAAUUGUCCGUGUCAUGGCACCUUUGGCAGGAUCUGAUCCAAGAAUAGAUACAAAGCAUGGGAAGUGGUUACAUCUACGCAUUCGCCCUUCUUCGGUCCCUUUUUUGGACACUGAGAAGCAUAAAGCGAAGACAAAGAAGUAUCUUGUUGAUGGGAGAUGGACCCUUGCUUUUAGGGACGAGCAGUCCUGUAAGGUUGCAGAGAGUAUGGUUAUUGAAGAGAUGAAACUCCAACGAGGUGCUGUUGCAGAGCAAUUGAAGCCAUUGGUUGAAUUUGACAUGCCUGAGGAUGGAAUGCAGCACCCCCAGACUUCACAUGAAACCCCUUCUGAUGAUGGAUCAUGACUAAAUUUUCAUCAAGUGCAGUGUUGAGCUUCUCAAUUAAGGAGACAUGGCAACAGAUGGCCGCAAAAGUGCCGCAUUGAACAUUUCAAGCAUGCUGGCAGGAAAACCCACCAUGGCAAGUCAUCGACAAUUCUGUACAUUACAUUGGGAGAUUAGAGAUGUCUCCUUGUUAACACACAACUGUAGAGUUUCGGGCCGUCCUGAGUUGAACUAGCUGGAUAGGAUUCUUUGUACAAUAGUUUGUUUCUCUCCUUGCCCGUUGUAACCUUAUAUAUCACAUCAAAACCCAUUCUUUGUUAAGUUUCAGGGCACAGUUGUGUUGUGCACACGAAAUGUUUAAAGAAAUUUGCAGUUAGUCAUACCUGUUGUCAAAGCAAGCCUUGCCUAUGUGGUAAUAAAAUGUCAGAUCGAUAAUUUUUCUUGGAAAUAUGAAUGUUCAUGGAC